UACGAACUGUGCGAACGUUAUUCGGAAUCACUGGGCUUACAGGGUGCGUAGGCGGCUCAACAAGUCAGGCGUGAAAGCCCCCGGCUCAACCGGGGAACUGCGCUUGAAACUGUUAGGCUCGAGUCAGCUAGAGGUACACGGAACUUCCAGUGGAGCGGUGAAAUGUGUUGAUAUUGGAAGGAACACCGGAGGCGAAAGCGGUGUACUGGGGCUGGUCUGACGCUGAGGCACGAAAGCCAG
rnacentral:rRNA from 1 species